rnacentral:lncRNA from 1 species
AUCAACCAUCAAAAUGAUAUACCAUAUACAUCAACUAAAUCAUACAUUUUCAAUCAUAUCCUUAUGAAACAUAAUGUAAUAUACCAAGUACCUAUAUGAUUCCAUCACAUGCUAAGUUCAAUAAUCAUAUUCAAUGCCAUUAAUUCAUGUCAUGAUCAACCACAUUAAUAUACCAAUAUGUUCACAACUUUGAGCAAUCAGAAACACACUUACAUUUACAAAACAUAAAUACAUAUAUAUAAUUCAACUCCUAUUGCAUGCCACAUAAUCGAAGUAAAAUGUUUUCAAAGUCUACCAAAAGGUGGUUGGAUAGUGUGAUCUUCAAGUUGAUCUGAUCGUCGGGUUCCACAAAAUGAUAACUAUAAGAAAACAAGAAAAUGAAAUAGAGUAAGCUUCAAUUGAGGUUAGUAAGUUCAUAGGUUGAAAACGAUAUAACAUACAUUAAUAUCAAAGUUUAAUUAACAAAACAGUUAGCUAACAAUUAGCCCUGUCACCACAACCACAUCAAUAGGUGAGUUCAUCACAUACAAGUCAUAUAACCUUCCAACUAUACAAGUUGAUUCAAUAUCAAGUCAAGCCAUCAUAUCAAUAAACACCAACACACUUUCAAGUCAUUUAUUAAAGUUUUAUCACCAUACACUAGUAACUAGUCAUUAAAUUUUUUAACAAUCAUGAUUCAGCUCGAUGAACUAAUAUGAAUAGAUGUGGAUACUCGAUUAUCCACCUAAAACACACCAGAAUGCUCAAACGAGCUAAUCCAUCUAAAAACACGCUUGGGCACUAAGUGCCAAGCCCAAAAGCUACACACCCUCCCCUAAAAACACGCCUGAAUCACUAUAAAUAUAACUCGUAAUCUGCAACAAAUGUUGGAUUCCGGUACAUUCAGUGAACAUAUAAACAUAUCAUCUAUCAUCAUCUCAUCUUAUCUUAUCUCAUAUCAACCCCAUAUAGUGCGCAAUAUAACCCUAUUGGCUUGCCAAUUGUAUCCUAUCUCAAGUUCAUCCAGGCUCAAAACAUGUAAUAAUUCAUCAUUUUUCAAUCAAGUCAUUUAUCUCACCUUUGUAUCAAUUACAACAUUUAAGUUUAUAUUCAACCAAUCCAAUUACAAAAUUCAAACAUAAAUAUUACGAAUAUACAAAGAACUUACUAGGGGCAAAUAUGUAAUUUUCUCUUUUUCUCGAUUAUCUAUCGGUUCUUGAUAUGCAAGGGUCAAAUAUCCUUGAAGGUUUCAAGCUUUUAUUUCAUUUAACAAUGGUGGAAAAAUUGGUGGAAGAAGAAGAAUGAAAAGAAGAUGACUUUUCUUUUUGUUUUAUUAUAUUUUAAUUAAUAUUUUAACAUUAAAAUUAACAAAUAAAUGACUAAUUAUAAAGCACUAACUGUCCAAGCUAAUUCACUAUGGCCUAAUUUCCAUUUAAGUCUCUUAAAUAAUUUUAUUUGAACCUUUUAAUCGAUAAAAAUCAAUAGCAAUCCACUUUUACGAUUUUUACGAUUUAAUUAUCUUACCUUAAUUAAGCUCCCAAGCACUAAAAUUACCGGACCAAACUUUAAUACGACACUCUAAUGACCUCGUAAAUAUUAAAUAAAUAAUAUUUACAGGCUUACUCAUCAAAAUUUUGGUCCCAAAACCUCUGUUUUUGGCAUCACUGAAAACAGACUGUUACAAGGAUUCUUAUGAGCACGUCAUAACAACUGUAGGAUUUUUUGGUCCUCUGCAAAUGAGAUAGGACCCUUAUUCAAAAAACUUAUAAUUUAGGGUGGAGGGAUCCUCCAAUUUUCUGCCAUGGAGUUAUAAGUGCAUAUUGGUUAUACAUAGGGGUGAACAAAAUUUGAUUCGACUAAAAAAAUCAAAAAAAAUUAAAUUUCAAAUUAUUUGAAUCAAAUUAAUUGAAUCAACUCUAUUUUUUUUGUUUUUCUAGUCCGAAUCAAGUUAAAUUUUCGAAAUCUAAUAACUAGAAUAAUUCAAAUAAACCAAAUACCAAACCAUUUUACUUCCAUUCCCCCCAACUCCCUUCCCCCUCAAACCCUUUUAUUUUCCCCCAAAAUAUUUUACUUCUCCGAAACCUUCAAAACCUUUUUCCUUUUCUUUUCUCCCCUAUUUUCUCCCCAAAACUUUUACUUCCCCCUAAAAAAAUUUACUUCCCCCAAACCCUUAAAAAUUUUCAUUUUAUUUUCUCCAUAAAACUUUUACUUUCCUUUAAAAAGAUUUACUUUCUUUCAAACACCAAAACUUUUUUCCUUUUACCUUUUCUCCAAAACUUUUACUUCCCCCAAACCCCAAGAACUUUUUUUAAUUUACGCCUACUAUUUAUAUUAUUGAGUUAAAUUGUACAUUUUGUACUAUUGAUAUUAUUGAAUUGUUUAAUCAUGUCGAAUCUUUAUCAAUUUCUGAUAAAAUUGAAUUAUUGUUGAUGCCAUAACGUAUUUGUCUUAAAAUUUUCUAUUGGUAUCAAUUUCACAUUUUAUCUUUAAUAUAUCUUUUUAUUAAAAAGUUACAUUUUUUACAUUUAAUAUGUUUUUUAAUUUCAAAAUACACGGUGACAAGAAUCAAAAAAUAAUUGAAGCAACUAAGCAAGCAAAGAAGCUAACCCGUAUAUAAAAUAUUAAUAAAUAAAUUAUGAAGGAUGAAAGUUAAUAAAAAAUUUGAUUACGGUGACUGAAAAAGGCUACAAGACCUAAAGUCAUUUUUUUAAUUUGACUUGAACAAAUAUAUUCGAUUCAAAUUCCAUCUCACUCGACUCGAUUCGAGAAAAUUUCAAAUCGAGUUAGGAUGAUAAAAUACGAUUUUUCAACUUGAAUAACUCAAAAUUUUUUCUUUCAAUUCAAUCGAAUGCUCACCCCUAAUUAUACAUUUUAAAGUCCUUCACACUUUUGUUUUGGCUUAUUUUCAAGUAAUCCUAAUUGCAUGUCUUUAUAAACAUACCAAUAAAACAAAGCACAAAAAUUCAAUUUUUAUUGGCACUUACAAACCCAGCUCGCGGCGAACCUAGUUGAAACCCAAACAUCACGCAGACGCCCAACGAGCACCAGCUCGCAACCUACCUAUGAUUACCUAACUCACAACUAGCCCUGCGAAUCCCUGGUUCACAUCCUACCCUACGAUCUCCAACGAUUGGAAAACACCUAUCACUGGCGAACCUAGACACACAUCUCCCUUUGUAUUAGCAAACUGCUUAGGUGAAUAGCUCGCGAACCCCCUUUCCUCGAUGAUCCUAAUUCAUGAGGAACCCUUCCUAUUUUGGCGUACUUUUUUUCUAAGCGGACCUUUCACUUUGGUGAAUACUAGCUUUGGUGAACCCCAACCUGAUUGGCGAAUACCCUAUUGGCAUACACCCUAUUGGCAAGCCUGUGAUUAUGGAAAACUCUUCCAGUGGAUAACUCUCUAUUUCGAUGAACUCUACUUCAUUUUACUUGACAGCUUUUAAUUGAUUUAUACAACAACUCAUUCAUAAUAGGUGAAGCCUUUCCCCCUGGCAACCCCUUAAACACUUGCGAUACCCUACACUUGCGACCUCCAGUUCGCACUACCCUUAGACGACUCAUAAGUGUUUAUUCAAUCGUGUUCUACAUAUAUUUCAUGCAUCCUAAGUUACUAUUUUUUUCAAACAUAAAAGAGGUGUAAGGGCGUACCUUAAUACUCGGCGAUCCCCAUGGGCUGCAUAAACUCGUUAGUUCAUCAAGUUAUCACUAAUUCAACAUGUAGUCAAAUCCAAUCAAUCAAGCAACUAUAAAGUCAAAAAAUACAAAACUAUACAAUCUAUGAUAUCUAAUUACAACCUAUCAAAAUUUAUUUAAAAAUCUAAGUCUAAUUAUAAUCCUUUGGAAUAGUCCCACAUUGCCUCCCACUUUAGGGGUUUGAAAACACAUCACAUACUUCAAGGAAGUUGCCUUGAAAUGGAUCAUCGGUUCCCCACACUUCACCAAUAUCCCCCGAGCUAUUUAUCUGUAAAGUAUAUGCAAGGAGUGUGAACUCAUUGAAGCUCGGUGAGUGUUCAAGCAUACAACACAUAUACACAUCAAUCAUGCUAGAAAUUAGCCUUGCUAUAAUAGUUCGUACAAAAUACAAUAUUCAUAUACAUCGUAGUGACAUAUUGGCAAUUUGUGAAUGUGAAACAUAAUCAUAAUUUGUAUGCAUUGGAGAAAUGGAUCUCCAAAACACUCCAAAUAACCCAAAGAGUCCUGCGUUAUCUCCAAUAAGUGUAGCACAAGUGCUCACACUCUCCAAACACACCACACUAUCUACGGUGAAUGGAGCUAUACUCGACAUUCCCUUAUUCUCCAACGCUAUAUUUGAGCCACAAUGCCCUAACACAUAAUAAAAAGGGUGAGUACUCAUAAUCCUAUGGCAUGCCAAUGAUAUCCAACAGUUUCAAGUGCUCACAAUGGCAACAUAUAAUUUUUACCACAUUCCCAGUAUACAAUAUAAUAAGGAUCGCAUUACAGCAAAGCCCGCACAUUAUAGUUCGCAACGUCACAGUUCGCAUUUAGCAAAGCUCACAUUUCUACAAGGCUCGCAAUACACAUAGGUUCAUAAUGACAUGAGUUCACAUAUCAUAAGGGUUCACAUAUCACAAGGGUUUGCAAAUCGUAAGUGUCUGCAUCUUAAUAUAGGCUCCCAUACCUAUAUAGGCUCGCAUAUUUAUAUAAGGUUUGCAUAAUAUUUUUAUAGGGUUCGCAUACCAUAUUGUGGGGUUUGCACUAUGAAUAUAAGGUUCGCAUGAAACACAACAAGGUUCACAGACCUUACCUAGACUCUCUUUAACAUGCGAACGAGUGUUUAAGUGCGAUAUACAAAAACAUUCACCUGUUGAUUCAUUGAUACUGUUAAACCUACACCAUCUUCUAAUUGCCCUUUUCUUUUCUCGUGGAUGCUCCCUCGUGAUUAGAGGCUUCAGAUAUAACAUGAAAAUACACAAGUUACUAAUGGUUCACAAUAGAAUAACCUCCCUAACAACACAGUAGCUCACCAAUCACACAAAUCUAGCGAGCUCACCUCACGCAUUCACUAGCUUUCUUAAGUACCUCAUUUUGACUAGAUUAACUCUCUAAUUUCUACUUUCUAAUCUCAUAUCUAAUUUUUAAUUACAGAUCUAGGCCAUUAAUUUUACAUAAUUUCACUAAUUAACAUUUUCUGGAAAAAUCACGUUCGUCUUCAAUCUCAUGGAAGAAAAAUCAUUUGAUUCAUACAAAUUCUUUAAGGAUUUUGUAAAUCAAGUUUAUAAACCUCUUAAUUAUAUCAAAAUGAGUUGAAAAUCAUUUUAAACCCAUCACUUAUCUUACUAUUACAAGAUCUACCAUUUUCAAGCUAAAGCAAGCUAUAAAACCAUAGAUAUUUUGAUUUCUUGAUUAGAUCUCUAAAAACUUGAACUAAAAUCACAUAAUAUAUGUUUAAACCAUAAGAAAUCUGAAUAUUUACCUUUUAUUUGAAGAUCUCCAUGAAAUUAAAUCAAUUUGAGCAAAAACGAGCUAAGUAAUAAAAGAAAAUUGAAGGAGAAAGGAUGAAUAUUUUAACAAAAUGGAAAAGAAAAAGGUAUUUGGAUGCUUAGAAAAUCAAAAGGAUGAAGGGAACUUUGUGAGAAAACUCCUAAUUUUAGAUCUAACAAAAUUUUAAAAUGGAUGAAAGUGUAAAGGGAAGGGACGCUGGGUGGUCUUAUAGAACCAACCAAUUUUUAAGAUUU